rnacentral:lncRNA from 1 species
AACGUCAUUAUACGGAAGAGGAAGGAAAGUGUGUUUGAAACUAAAAUCGCUAGUAACAACCAGCAUCAAACGUAACAUUGCUUGUCAAAUGGAUAUCAUUUCUCGUUAUGGUUUGUAGUUAUGCUGGCUUUGCUUCUGCUGUCUUUCUACAACAUCCGAAGGUGGGUUGCUCACACCAUCGCUUAGCUAGCUUCAGAAAGCUCAGCUACCUAGCUAGCUAAGUUAGCUAGUAAACACAAUGUAAGCUGGCUAGCAAAGAUACAUCCUGAAGUGAUAUAACGUUGUUAGCAAUACGAUGUGAAGUUAUAUGGUGUUAUUCUCAACUUACUAUCAUCUUAGAUCAUCCAGAUGCAGGUUUAUGUAGCUAACGUUAACUAGUUAACUGGGUCAGCAUGUCAUUACCAUCAACACUGUGAUCGAAGGGUGAAUUGUGACUGAAUUACUGAGCUACAAAUAAUAUUAAGUAGUUA